rnacentral:rRNA from 1 species
GACGAACGCUGGCGGCGUGCUUAACACAUGCAAGUCGAACGGAAAGGCCCUGCUUGCAGGGUACUCGAGUGGCGAACGGGUGAGUAACACGUGGGUGAUCUGCCCUGCACUUCGGGAUAAGCCUGGGAAACUGGGUCUAAUACCGGAUAGGAGCCAUUUUUAGUGUGAUGGUUGGAAAGUUUUUUCGGUGUAGGAUGAGCUCGCGGCCUAUCAGCUUGUUGGUGGGGUAAUGGCCUACCAAGGCGGCGACGGGUAGCCGGCCUGGGAGGGUGGACGGCCACAUUGGGACGGAGAUACGGCCCAGACUCCUACGGGAGGCAGCAGUGGGGAAUAUUGAACAAUGGGCGCAAGCCUGAUGCAGCGACGCCGCGUGGGGGAUGACGGCCUUCGGGUUGUAAACUCCUUUCGCUAGGGACGAAGCUUUUUGUGACGGUACCUAGAUAAGAAGCACCGGCUAACUACGUG